rnacentral:rRNA from 1 species
CAUUACACAAAUAUGAAGGCGGGCUGGAACCUCUCGGGGUUACAGCCUUGCUGAAUUAUUCACCCUUGUCUUUUGCGUACUUCUUGUUUCCUUGGUGGGUUCGCCCACCACUAGGACAAACAUAAACCUUUUGUAAUUGCAAUCAGCGUCAGUAACAAAUUAAUAAUUACAACUUUCAACAACGGAUCUCUUGGUUCUGGCAUCGAUGAAGAACGCAGCGAAAUGCGAUAAGUAGUGUGAAUUGCAGAAUUCAGUGAAUCAUCGAAUCUUUGAACGCACAUUGCGCCCUUUGGUAUUCCAAAGGGCAUGCCUGUUCGAGCGUCAUUUGUACCCUCAAGCUUUGCUUGGUGUUGGGCGUCUUGUCUCUAGCUUUGCUGGAGACUCGCCUUAAAGUAAUUGGCAGCCGGCCUACUGGUUUCGGAGCGCAGCACAAGUCGCACUCUCUAUCAGCAAAGGUCUAGCAUCCAUUAAGCCUUUUUUUCAACUUUUGACCUCGGAUCAGGUAGGGAUACCCGCUGAACUUAAGCAUAUCAAUAAGCGGAGGAAAAGAAACCAACAGGGAUUGCCCUAGUAACGGCGAGUGAAGCGGCAACAGCUCAAAUUUGAAAUCUGGCUCUUUUAGAGUCCGAGUUGUAAUUUGCAGAGGGCGCUUUGGCUUUGGCAGCGGUCCAAGUUCCUUGGAACAGGACGUCACAGAGGGUGAGAAUCCCGUACGUGGUCGCUGGCUAUUGCCGUGUAAAGCCCCUUCGACGAGUCGAGUUGUUUGGGAAUGCAGCUCUAAAUGGGAGGUACAUUUCUUCUAAAGCUAAAUAUUGGCCAGAGACCGAUAGCGCACAAGUAGAGUGAUCGAAAGAUGAAAAGCACUUUGGAAAGAGAGUCAAACAGCACGUGAAAUUGUUGAAAGGGAAGCGCUUGCAGCCAGACUUGCUUACAGUUGCUCAUCCGGGUUUCUACCCGGUGCACUCUUCUGUAGGCAGGCCAGCAUCAGUUUGGGCGGUAGGAUAAAGGUCUCUGUCACGUACCUCCUUUCGGGGAGGCCUUAUAGGGGAGACGACAUACUACCAGCCUGGACUGAGGUCCGCG